CGUGGGUAACCUGCCCAAGAGAUCGGGAUAACACCUGGAAACAGAUGCUAAUACCGGAUAACAACAGAUGAUGCCUAUCAACUGUUUAAAAGAUGGUUCUGCUAUCACUCUUGGAUGGACCUGCGGUGCAUUAGCUAGUUGGUAGGGUAACGGCCUACCAAGGCGACGAUGCAUAGCCGAGUUGAGAGACUGAUCGGCCACAUUGGGACUGAGACACGGCCCAAACUCCUACGGGAGGCAGCAGGU
rnacentral:rRNA from 1 species